rnacentral:rRNA from 1 species
AUUGAACGCUGGCGGCAGGCCUAACACAUGCAAGUCGAGCGGAUGAAGGGAGCUUGCUCCUGGAUUCAGCGGCGGACGGGUGAGUAAUGCCUAGGAAUCUGCCUGGCAUUGGGGGAUAACGUCCCGAAACGGGCGCUAAUACCGCAUACGUCCUGAGGUAGAAAGUGGGGGAUCUUCGGACCUCACGCUAUCAGAUGAGCCUAGGUCGGAUUAGCUAGUUGGUGGGGUAAAGGCCUACCAAGGCGACGAUCCGUAACUGGUCUGAGAGGAUGAUCAGUCACACUGGAACUGAGACACGGUCCAGACUCCUACGGGAGGCAGCAGUGGGGAAUAUUGGGCAAUGGGCGAAAGCCUGAUCCAGCAAUGCCGCGUGUGUGAAGAAGGUCUUCGGAUUGUAAAGCACUUUAAGUUGGGAGGAAGGGCAGUAAGUUAAUACCUUGCUGUUUUGACGGUACCAACAGAAUAAGCACCGGCUAACUUCGUG